AACGAACGCUGGCGGCGCGUCUUAAGCAUGCAAGUCGAGCGGCAAGGGCAGCAAUGCCCCUAGAGCGGCGGACUGGUGAGUAACGCGUGGGUGAUCUACCUUUGGGUUGGGGAUAGCCAUUAGAAAUAGUGGGUAAUACCGAAUACGGUCGCUGGGUUAAUGCCCGGCGAAGAAAGGAGCUACGGCUCCGCCUUAAGAUGAGCCCGCGUCCCAUUAGCUAGUUGGGGGUGUAACGGACCACCAAGGCGAUGAUGGGUAGCCGGCCUGAGAGGGUGAACGGCCACACUGGGACUGAGAUACGGCCCAGACUCCUACGGGUGGCAG
rnacentral:rRNA from 1 species